CUUCCCCUCACCUGCUUCUCACGAAUCAAACGUUCGCUGCGGGAAACCUGAGGCAGGCGGGCAGCAGGUUGCAGCUGGAGUUUCAGAGGAUACUGUGAUUCCAGCCAGCAAUUUCCAAGGGUCACCUGGACUACAGCAACUUUGCCGAUAUGUGUUUCAUCCCUGAUGAAAGAUUGGUGGACCUGGAAAUAUGUCAUGGGCAUCCUGCUGCCUUUUGAAGUCAUAUUCAGUUUGUUGGCAUAGCCUCUUUAAGGACUUAUGCGAUACGGUUUGUUGACAAAGCAGCAUGAGUUUUA